rnacentral:rRNA from 1 species
UUGGUCAAGCUAUAAAGAGCGCAGGGUGGAUGCCUUGGCACUAAGAGCCGAUGAAAGACGUGAUAAGCUGCGAUAAGCUCGGGGAGGAGCAAAUAUCCUUUGAUCCGGAGAUCUCUGAAUGGGGAAACCCGGC